rnacentral:lncRNA from 1 species
UGUCCCUCUACCUCUACCCUUUUCUCAACUAUAGAGUUUCGACUGCACCUCUCUAUCUUUGCCCUUCCUUAUCUCCGAAAGCGGAGGAUAUACAUGCGCACACUCACGUACGCGUAAAUACACGCUCACGGAAUGAGACUGCAGAAAAGUGGAAAACAGUAGAAUUUGGCAAAAUGAACAACUGUAUUUCAAACACACGAUAAUAACUCAGAAAACAACAAAAAUGUUAUGUUGUUUUCAUCGAGACGUAAAUGAAUUCAUUGAUGUCUUUUGCAUAUAGGUAUGUAUAUAUAUAGGUAUAGUAUGUUACAAAAGUUAUUUUCUUCACAA